rnacentral:tRNA from 1 species
GGCCAGGUAGCUCAGUUGGUAGAGCACCGCUCUGAAAAAGCGGGUGUCGUCAGUUCGAUCCUGACCCUGGCCACCA